GUCGAACGGGGUUUAUAUAACAGAACUCUCCGGAGGGAAGAUAUAUAAACCUAGUGGCGGACGGGUGAGUAACGCGUGGGCAACCUGCCCUGUACCGGGGGACAACAGCCAGAAAUGGCUGCUAAUACCGCAUAAGCCUGCUGUGCCGCAUGGCACAGCAGGGAAAACCACGGUGGUACAGGAUGGGCCCGCGUCUGAUUAGUUAGUUGGCAGGGUAACGGCCUACCAAGACAACGAUCAGUAGCCGGCUUGAGAGAGUGGACGGCCACAUUGGGACUGAGACACGGCCCAGACUCCUGCGGGAGGCAGCAGUGGGGAAUAUUGCACAAUGGGGGGAACCCUGAUGCAGCAAUGCCGCGUGGGUGAAGAAGCACUCCGGUGCGUAAAGCCCUGUCAGCAGGGAAGAAAAUGACAGUACCUGGACAAGAAGCCCCGGCUAACUACGUGCCAGCAGCCGCGGUAAUACGUAGGGGGCAAGCGUUAUCCGGAUUUACUGGGUGUAAAGGGAGCGCAGGCGGCGUGGCAAGUCAGAUGUGAAAACCCGGGGCCCAACCCCGGGAGUGCAUUUGAAACUGCCAUGCUGGAGUGCCGGAGAGGUAAGCGGAAUUCCUAGUGUAGCGGUGAAAUGCGUAGAUAUUAGGGAGAACACCAGUGGCGGAGGCGGCUUACUGGACGGUAACUGACGCAGAGGCUCGAAAGCGUGGG
rnacentral:rRNA from 1 species